rnacentral:rRNA from 1 species
AUACGGAGGGGGCUAGCGUUGUUCGGAAUUACUGGGCGUAAAGCGCGCGUAGGCGGUUUGCCAAGUCAGGCGUGAAAGCCCCGGGCUCAACCCGGGAACUGCGUUUGAAACUGGCAGGCUUGAGGCCGGGAGAGGGUAGUGGAAUUCCCAGUGUAGAGGUGAAAUUCGUAGAUAUUGGGAAGAACACCGGUGGCGAAGGCGGCUACCUGGACCGGUACUGACGCUGAGGUGCGAAAGCGUGGGGAGCAAACAGGAUUAGAAACCCCGGUAGUCC